rnacentral:lncRNA from 1 species
UAAUUCAUUGUUCGGAGAAUAUCAUAAAACCAGCGUCUGCCGUAUUGCACCAAGUAGCGUACUCGGUGUUUACAUUUUGGCUAGCACCAAGCACAUUUGCUCGGUGCUGCACCAAGUGGAAUUACUUGGUGAAAAGUAUGUUCUUUAAUAGAAAGCUUUUAGAUAUUUAAAUAUUAGUCUUUUAUGAUCCUUAUAAAAUUAUGAGGUUAAAAAUAUAUAACCUGCACCAAGCAGUAUCUGCAAUUAGUUGCUCGGUGUGCACCAAGUAAAUUUCUAGCACCGACUAGAUUCUUGCACCGACUAGAUUUUUU